UGAGGAAUAUUGCGCAAUGGGGGCAACCCUGACGCAGCAACGCCGCGUGAGUGAGGAAGGUUUUCGGAUCGUAAAGCUCUGUCGGGUGGGAAGAAAUGUAUGGAGGUUAAUAGCCUUUGUACUUGACGGUACCGCCAAAGGAAGCACCGGCUAACUCCGUGCCAGCGGCCGCGGUAAUACGGGGGGUGCAAGCGUUGUUCGGAAUCAUUGGGCGUAAAGAGCGUGUAGGCGGCUAGGCAAGUCAGAUGUGAAAUCCCUGGGCUUAACCCAGGACGUGCAUGUGAAACUGCUUAGCUUGAGUAAGGAAGAGGGAAGUGGAAUUCCGGGUGUAGGGGUGAAAUUCGUAGAUAUCAGGAGGAAAACCGGUGGCGAAGGCGACUUCCUGGUCCUAUACUGACGCUGAGACGCGAGAGCGUGGGGAGCAAACA
rnacentral:rRNA from 1 species